rnacentral:rRNA from 1 species
GACCUCAGAUCAGGUAGGAAUACCCGCUGA